rnacentral:rRNA from 1 species
GACGAACGCUGGCGGCGUGCUUAACACAUGCAAGUCGAACGGAAAGGCCCUGCUUUUGUGGGGUGCUCGAGUGGCGAACGGGUGAGUAACACGUGAGUAACCUGCCCUUGACUUUGGGAUAACUUCAGGAAACUGGGGCUAAUACCGGAUAGGAGCUCCUGCUGCAUGGUGGGGGUUGGAAAGUUUCGGCGGUUGGGGAUGGACUCGCGGCUUAUCAGCUUGUUGGUGGGGUAGUGGCUUACCAAGGCUUUGACGGGUAGCCGGCCUGAGAGGGUGACCGGCCACAUUGGGACUGAAAUACGGCCCAGACUCCUACGGGAGGCAGCAGUGGGGAAUAUUGCACAAUGGGCGGAAGCCUGAUGCAGCAACGCCGCGUGCGGGAUGACGGCCUUCGGGUUGUGAACCGCUUUCGCCUGUGACGAAGCGUGAGUGACGGUAAUGGGUAAAGAAGCACCGGCUAACUACGUG